AAGCACCUACGGGACGCAGCAGUGAGGAAUAUUGGUCAAUGGGCGCGAGCCUGAACCAGCCAAGUAGCGUGAAGGAUGACUGCCCUACGGGUUGUAAACUUCUUUUAUAAAGGAAUAAAGUGAGGCACGUGUGCCUUUUUGUAUGUACUUUAUGAAUAGGGAUCGGCUAACUCCGUGCCAGCAGCCGCGGUAAUACGGAGGAUCCGAGCGUUAUCCGGAUUUAUUGGGUUUAAAGGGAGCGUAGAUGGGUUGUUAAGUCAGUUGUGAACGUUUGCGGCUCAACCGUAACAUUGCAAUUGAUACUG
rnacentral:rRNA from 1 species